GAUAAACGCUGGCGGCGUGCAUAACACAUGCAAGUCGAACGAUGAAACUUAAAUGAUCUCUUCGGAGUGACUUUAAGUGGAUUAGUGGCGGACGGGUGAGUAACGCGUGAGUAACCUGCCUUGCACAAGGGGAUAGCCGUUGGAAACGACGAAUAAUACCCUAUGAUAUGAUAGUCUCGCAUGAAGCUAUCAUCAAAGAUUUAUCGGUGUAAGAUGGACUCGCGUCUGAUUAGCUAGUUGGUGGGGUAAAAGCUCACCAAGGCAACGAUCAGUAGCCGGCUUGAGAGAGUGUACGGCCACAUUGGGACUGAGACACGGCCCAGACUCCUACGGGAGGCAGCAGUGGGGAAUUUUGCACAAUGGGGGAAACCCUGAUGCAGCGACGCCGCGUGAGCGAAGAAGGCCUUCGGGUCGUAAAGCUCUUUUAUGAGGGAAGAUAAUGACGGUACCUCAAGAAAAGGCCCCGGCUAACUACGUGCCAGCCGCCGCGGUAA
rnacentral:rRNA from 2 species